AUUUUUUACAAAAAAAAUAAACAAAAAAAAAAACCCUAGCUGAACGAAGCCCCGCCCAACCCCCAGCUUUCUCGCUCGCUCGCUCACACUCUCUAUAGUCUCUAACGGAGGCAGAGCUGGGAGUUCAGCUCGGUUCACCGCCAUCGAAUGUUCGCCGCCGUCGCCGCGCGUCUCGCCGGAUCCUGCACGUCAUAUGCUCGCGUCUGGCCUCUCUCCUCCAUCUGAGCUCGGCUGCUUGCCCCUCUCUCGCCUCCGCGUCUGCUCGAGCGGUGCUUCCUGCUCGUGUGGUCGCCGCGCCUCCCUCGCCUCUCUCCCUCCUCACGUCUCUGCUCGAGCUUUGUGGUCCCUCGCGUGCUCGUUGCCGGCGGUCUUGCUCCCUAUCGCUCAUAUUCUGCUAGUUCUCCGCGUUGUAAACAUAAGAAGGACUGCCGCAGUGCCGCCAGCUCCUCCGCGUCACAUCCUUGCUCCUUUUCCUUCAUGCUCUGCUUUUUGGAAGACCACCGAAGAGUGGUGAGCUGCUAUCAUUUCCACCUCAUCAUGCCUCAUGCGAUGCUACUCAACGGCGAUGAUCAGCUACAAAGUUUGUAGCUACCACCACCACCACCACAAGCACGUUGCUUUCCUCAGCCCCAUACCCUUUGGGUUUUCACUUCUCUAUCACCUUUGCCACGGACCUUGUGAUUCGUAUGAACAUGUCCCGCAGUGAGUUUAUCUUUCAUUGGAUUCAAGGAAUAUCUGAUUUGCUCCAAGGAAUAAGUCUACAUCAAUGAAUGGUCUGUUACACCGUUUGACCCAUUUUCAUGGAUUACACCAUUUCUUAGUUCUUAAAUUAUCAAAUUAUUCACUGAUGCGAAUAGUAAUAGUAAUGCCAAUGCUGAGACCCAAGAGAAACAAGAGGAUGGGCCUAAUGAAGCCAUUAUGCAGAAUAACCCAAGUAACAAAAGAGUGAGGAAACUACCCAUAUGAAAGACUACGAGAAGUCAGUAUGAGUGCAUCACAGGGAAUUAUUAGCUUGUGCUGAGAUAUCUUAGUGGGCUCAAUCUAUCUAAACUAAGGUAGGCUACAAAUUUCAUGGCAGGCAGUGGCCUGACGUCUUUGGGUCGUGUGAAGCUCACUGAUUUAGUUCCUUUGGAAGGGUUGCCAUCUGAUGCCUAUAAAAUAUCAGUUUCAAUUUUGUCACAAUCAUUGGCUCAGUUUUCAGCUGUCAUUGUCCAAUUUCCAGAAAGUGACGGGUCUCUUCUAAGAUCUGGUUUAGAAUCUGCCCGCCUCUAUUUCCAUCAAAGAGAAUCAUACCCCCCUGCAGAUAUAAUCCAUACCGCUGAGUCUCGGGAGUGGUGCAAAACAUCUGGUUAUUAUGCAGAUCCUCAUUUAUGGCAAGAAAGCUAUGAUUAUAGACCGGGAUUAACUCCUUCAGAACCAAACAACUCAAUUGAGUUCCCUCCUGCUGGUUUGCAAGAUAUGUUUGCUUCAUUUGGAAAAGCAGCAAGGCAUAUUCUGGAUGCAAUUAGCUUCCAUUUGAAUUUGCGUAGCUCGCCGUUUGCUGAAAUACUGGAUAAUGUUCCCCUUAGAAAUAGGGAAAUUUCUUCUUCAGUCUUAUCUGUUUGCUGUCAUGCUAGGCCAUCAUUUCAGGAGCCACAGCAUCAUAAUAUAGCUACUCAAGAGGAUGGCCAAAUUGUUAUGUAUCCUGACCAGGAUCACCAUGUUGAUAAAGGCUUGCUAUCUAUUGUCAAGUCUGACAAGGCUGGUUUACAGGUAAGAGACUUUCAAGGUCGAUGGAUUCUUGUGGAUGGAGAUCUUGGACCUCAGGAAGCUGUUGUUUAUCCUGGUCUUGCUCUCUAUCAAGCCACUGCAGGGUAUGUAAGCCCUGCAUUGCACAAAACUGAGAUUAAUAUGGAGCCUAAUAUGUAUGGACGAUGUUCUUUAGCCUUCAAACUUCUGCCUAAAUCAAUGACCAAUCUUGAUUGUUCAGAAAUGAGAGCGGCAGGUUAUGGAAUUGAAGCUCAGUUCCAGCUCCCCGUUCCAGUGGAUGAUUUUAUGCAAAGAUCUCAUCAAACUGAUCAUAUUUUUAGUAGGCCUGGUUUCCAGUGCUUCAAUUUUCCACCGACAAAUGAUGGAUCCGGGAAGACUAUAAGGAGGAGGAAGCAAAAUCCUAAAAGCAAACCUCUGCCACCUUCCAAGCGACUAAGGCUUGAGGCACAACGAGUUUUGAAAGAAAGGGUCCAAGAUAUUGCAGAUAAAAAAGGCAUCAAGCUGCGGUUCUGUAAUCUCAAAGAAUGUGAAAAUCACAUCCAUGCCUUAGACAGCCCAUGUGCGAAUAUACGAUUGGAGAUAGGGUGGCCACCUGGAGUUCCAUUUGUCCACCCCCAUGAUUUGCCUAACAAGGCAAAGUUGGGUUUUCUUGAGGCAUAUGAACCUGGUUGGACAGAAGCCCAUCAAAACUUGGACAGGCUAGUCAACACUCGGCUAACUUUAACAGUAGCGGGAGUGACCAGAACCAAGCAAGGGAUGAUAUUCAUAACUAGCCCAUCAUCGUCAUUAAUUAACCCCUCUGUAGGCGACGAAUCAAACUUCUAGCAACAUAGAAGCAUGUUGAGAACAAUUAUUAGUUGUAGAAAGGAGCAAUGGACAUUAGGAAUGAAGUGUUGGAUCAAUGCAAAGACCAAUAGAAACAUAGACUCUUAUCUCUCUCUUGGUUUGUGCAUGUGUUUCCAUGAUUUGUCAGAGGUUUGCUGAUCCUUUUUCAUGUCCUCUUCUUUGCUUAAGUAGUUAUAUGAUUAAUAUUUUCAUGAAUGAUAUAUUUGCAAGAUAUCUUGUCGUUUGUUAUCUGGGAGUGCACUAAUUGGCCCUGGAUUAAUAUUUCCGUAUAUGGAGCUAGAAACACCAAGUGUGUGUAGACUAUGGAAAGUGAAAGAUCAAAAACAGCCAGUGGAAGCCUGUUUAUGAGCAAUUAAGAUCUGUUAUAUAAUGUUCAAUGACCGAUGGAACUAGCGCAAAUGUGGUGGAAUCAAUCACCCUGAUUUCCAGCAUAUGGGGAACAUGUGAUCAGGUUGUGAAGUUCUUGGGAGGAUAAUAAGCUUUUAGUUCUCAAUGCUUCGCUGGAUCUAUUUUUGGCUUGGUUCAAUUUUUCAAGUGGCGAAAAAUAAAUGACCAUUUUGUAUCUUCCUAAACUAAAAAGUGGGUAUCCAAAAUAUUUAACUUUUAAUUAAUAUGUACUGACUAUGUAAAACUAUUUCACACUAUUAAUCAAUGAAAUUCAAAGAUUUAAAUGAUAA